rnacentral:rRNA from 1 species
UACAGAGACUGCAAGCGUUAUUCGGAUUCACUGGGCGUAAAGGGUGCGCAGGUGGCCGUGUGUGUCAGAUGUGAAAUCCCGGGGCUUAACUCCGGAACUGCGUCUGAAACUACACGGCUAGAGCAUUGGAGAGGGUAGUGGAAUUCACGGUGUAGCAGUGAAAUGCGUAGAUAUCGUGAGGAACACCAGAGGCGAAGGCGACUACCUGGGCAAUAGCUGACACUCAGGCACGAAAGCGUGGGGAGCCAAAGGG